rnacentral:lncRNA from 1 species
UAAGGAUGAAUGUGUGUACACAUAUCAACGCAUAUAUCACUGAUUAUCAGUUUAUACAAUUAAUAUCAUAUAUGUACAUAGAUUUAUAUACAACACAGACACAGACAUGCAUGUUGUAUAUGGAUUAAUGCAUACGAUAUGUUUAUGCGUGUAUAUAUACACUUGCUUGCUAUCAGUUAUAUACAUUUGUCAAUGUAUAUGAUCAUUAAAAUACUACAUAUAUACAGUGCACAACACUAUAUAUAUAUACGUGGUGUUUGGACUGAUGUGUACAUUUAUACGAUAUGUAUAUAAUGAUGUGUUUAUGCGUGUAUAUAUAUAGUUCUUUGCUAGCAGUUAUAUACAAUAAUCUAUAUAUAUAUAUAUAUAUAUUGAUAUGCAUACAUGCAUGCACCCUCACGUCUUGAUAAGUGUAUAUAUACAGAGUAUGUGUAACUAAUACAUAUAUCUAUAUAUAUAUAUAUAUAAAUAAACUGAUAUAAGUGUCUAUAUGGUCAUAGAUAUCAAUGUAUGUAGAAAUGUAUAUAUGUACUACCAAUGCGUAAACGUGCAUGUACGCGCACAUAUCAGUGUUUAUAAACACCUGGAUAAUUGUAUAUAACUGAUAGCAAGCAACUAUAUACAUACUCUUAUAAACAUAAUAGUAUAUACAUAUCGUAUAUACACACAUAUCAGUCCAUAUAUAACAUACAUCUGUAGUAUAUAAAUCUGAGUGUGAGUGUGUGUGGUGUAAGUGUUAGUGUCAGCAUGUGUGAGUGUGAGUGUGUAAGUGUGAGUGUGUGUAAUAUAUAAAUUAGUGUACUUAUACGUUAAUAACUGUAUAAAUUGAUAAUAAGUAUAUAUGAUCAUAUACAUCAAUGUGUAUACACACAUAACAGUAUGUACACAUCGUAUAUAGACAGACGUCACACACACAUCAAUAAACGUGUUACACACUAAUAACUGUAAAAAUAGCUAAUAACUAAGGUAUUAUAUAUAAAAAU